AAAGAAAGGGCUUACGGGCAUUUUGGUCAUUUAGUUAAUUAAUGAAAUAAAAUGAGAAAAUGAAGGAAAAAAUCAGCCAUUCUUCUCCCUCAUCCAGCCAAAAUUCUCAAGCCCUCUAUAGCUAGGUUUUUCAACAUUUUCAAGCUCAAUAGUAAGUGCUCCCAAGCCCCGUUUUUAAUGUUCUUUGUAUUUUUGAAAUCCCCGUAACUUACUCUCUCUAUUCCUCCC
rnacentral:lncRNA from 1 species